rnacentral:rRNA from 1 species
AAUAAAACAACUAUACAAAGAAGAGUUUGAUCCUGGCUCAGGAUGAACGCUAGCGGCAGGCUUAACACAUGCAAGUCGAGGGGCAGCGCGUGAUGUAGCAAUACACCAUGGCGGCGACCGGCGGAAGGGUGCGUAACACGUGAGCAACAUGCCCGACUCAGGGGGAUAACCGCUGGAAACGGCGACUAAUACCCCAUGGCUACCGCGGAGGGCAUCCUCUGUGGUAUAAAGCUGAGGCGGAGUCGGAUUGGCUCGCGGGGCAUUAGCUUGAUGGCGGGGUAACGGCCCACCAUGGCGACGAUGCCUAGGGGUUCUGAGAGGAAGGCCCCCCACACUGGGACUGAGACACGGCCCAGACUCCUACGGGAGGCAGCAGUGA